GGGAAUCUACCCAGUGGUACGGAAUAACUCGGGGCAAACUCGAGCUAAUACCGUAUGAGCCCUUCGGGGGAAAGAUUUAUCGCCAUUGGAAGAGCCCGCGUCGGCAUUAGGUAGUUGUGAGGUAAGUGGCUCACCAAGCCGACAUCCGUAGCUGGUCUGAGAGGAUGUAUCAGCCACAUCUGGGACUGAGCACACGGUCCAACAUUCAUACGGGAGGCAGCGUGGGGAAUAUUGGACUAAUGGGCGCAGCCUGAUCCAGCCAUGCCGCGUGUGUGAUGCACAGGCCGUUGGGUUGUAAAGCACUUUCGCCGGUGAAGAUAAUGACCGGUGACCGGAGAAGAAGCCCCGGUAAUNUUCGUGCCAGCCGCCGCGG
rnacentral:rRNA from 1 species